CAGAGGCGUUGGCGGCGUGAGGCUCAGGACUGUACAUCAGAGGAAGCCAAAAGCCAGCUGGAAUACUUCCUGAAUACAGUUUUAAUCUUGUUUGCAAUUAUUUCGAAGGGGAGAAAUCAUCUGGAUCAGAAUUAAGAUGCUCUGGUUUCAAGGAAAUAGCAUGCAACUUGCCAGAUCCUCCUUUGGACUCUUCUUGAGAAAUUGCUCUGCCUCUAAGACAACUCUGCCUGUGUUGACCUUAUUCACAAAGGUACAAAGUGAAAAAGUAAAAUUGUUGGGUGAAGAAAGUUGUACAUUUAAGAAAAAGGGACAAAGUUGAAAGGAAAGGCAAUGGAAUAAGCUUUCUUCAGACCUGCUCUUCAAUUUUUCUAUCAGCACAACAGCAGCAACUCAGUUUUCUACCCAGAUACCUUAUUAUCUCCCAAUUAGCAAAGAGUAAAUUGAUGUAUUUAAUGGUCAUCUGGCCCCUACAUUGAAAAAAAUGAAGUAUAGGUUAUAAUAUGGUGUUUAAAAAUGUAUCAUUUAGAAAUACAAUCAAUUAUUUUUAUUUGUGGUAAUUAUGUUCUAUAAAGUCACCUUGAACGCUGAAUUAAUGAAUAUUGCUCCUAGGGGAAAUACACAGUUAGGUUCCUAUGAGUCUCUGGUCAUAAUAUUUUCAUCAGCCUACCAAAUACAGAACCUUAUUUUAUGUGUGAUUCUAUUUAAAGAUACUUUAUUUUUACAUUUGCACCAUGGAAUACUAUGCAGCCAUAAAAUAGAUGAAAUAAUGUCUUUGCAGCAACAUGGAUGCAGUUAGAGGCCAUUAUCCUGAGCAAAUUAACACAGGAACAGAAAAUCAAAUACUGCAUGUUCUCACUUAUAAGUGGGAGCUAAACAUUGAGUACACAUGCACACAAAGAGGGGAAUGAUAGACACCAGGGCCUAAUUGAGGGUGGAGGGUGAGAAUCGAAAAACUACCUAUCAGGUGUAUGCUUACUACCUGGGUGAUGAAAUCAUUUGUACACCAAACCCCAGUGGCAUGCAAUUUACCCAUGUGACAAAGCUGCACAUGUACCCCCGAACCU
rnacentral:lncRNA from 10 species